UACGUAGGGUGCGAGCGUUGUCCGGAAUUACUGGGCGUAAAGAGCUCGUAGGUGGUUUGUCGCGUUGUUCGUGAAAUCUCACGGCUUAACUGUGAGCGUGCGGGCGAUACGGGCAGACUAGAGUACUGCAGGGGAGACUGGAAUUCCUGGUGUAGCGGUGAAAUGCGCAGAUAUCAGGAGGAACACCGGUGGCGAAGGCGGGUCUCUGGG
rnacentral:rRNA from 1 species